UUCUUUACAAGGGAGAAACCUGAUCAGGAAGGUGGAUUUUCUCAAAGUGAGGUUUAUCCAUUGCAUUCCAGAAGUGCUGACUAUGAUGUCCCCAAAUGUGGAACAUUCACUGCAUAACUUGUGGUAGUAGGGGACUAUGUUCACAGAUUCUCAAA
rnacentral:snRNA from 1 species